rnacentral:lncRNA from 1 species
CCCAGAUUCGACAAGUUAUAAAGCUUUAUUUUUCCAUUUACUUUUGGCAAAAGAGUGCCAGUGUGGUGUGUGAACAUAUGCCAGCUCAUCAGUGAUGUUAAAGUUCUUCACUGUUGCUGUGCACUUGUUUUCUUUCGACUGGAAACUUCUGUGACCAUGCUGGAUCUUUGUCAGGAGAGAAAUACAUCUGCCCAGUGAAGAGGGAUGAAGGUCAGGAAUCAGAGCAUCAGCUCUCUUAAGAAAGCACUGGAUUAAAGAUUAGCCCUGAGUUAACAUCCACUGCCAAUCCUCCUCUUUUUGCUGAGGAAGACUGGCCCUGAGCUAACAUCCGUGCCCAUCUUCCUCUACUU